GACGAACGCUGGCGGCGCGCUUAACACAUGCAAGUCGAGCGAGAACCGGACCUUCGGGUCCGGGGAAAGCGGCGAACGGGUGAGUAACACGUGGGUAACCCACCCUUGGUACUGGGAUAGCCCGGGGAAACCCGGAUUAAUACCGGAUGGCCCAACAGCUCUUCGGGGCGGUUGGAAAAGGUAGCUUCGGCCUCCGACCAAGGACGGGCCCGCGGCGGAUUAGCUUGUUGGUGGGGUAACGGCCCACCAAGGCGCCGAUCCGUAGCUGGUCUGAGAGGACGGUCAGCCACACUGGGACUGAGACGCGGCCCAGACUCCUACGGGAGGCAGCAGUGGGGAAUCUUGCGCAAUGGGCGAAAGCCUGACGCAGCGACGCCGCGUGGGGGAAGAAGGCUUUCGGGUUGUAAACCCCUUUCAGGAAGGACGAAGCCACUCGGGUGAAUAGCCCAGAGGGUGACGGUACUUCCAGAAGAAGCCCCGGCUAACUACGUGCCAGCCGCCGCCGUAA
rnacentral:rRNA from 1 species